GUGGGGAAUUUUGGACAAUGGGCGCAAGCCUGAUCCAGCAAUGCCGCGUGCAGGAAGAAGGCCUUCGGGUUGUAAACUGCUUUUGUACGGAACGAAACGGUCCGGGUUAAUACCCUGGGCUAAUGACGGUACCGUAAGAAUAAGCACCGGCUAACUACGUGCCAGCAGCCGCGGUAAUACGUAGAGUGCAAGCGUUAAUCGGAAUUACUGGGCGUAAAGCGUGCGCAGGCGGUUUUGUAAGACAGGCGUGAAAUCCCCGGGCUCAACCUGGGAAUUGCGCUUGUGACUGCAAGGCUGGAGUGCGGCAGAGGGGGAUGGAAUUCCGCGUGUAGCAGUGAAAUGCGUAGAUAUGCGGAGGAACACCGAUGGCGAAGGCAAUCCCCUGGGCCUGCACUGACGCUCAUGCACGAAAGCGUGGGGAGCAAACAGGAUUAGAAACCCCAGUAGUCC
rnacentral:rRNA from 1 species